rnacentral:rRNA from 1 species
CGGGACACGUGGUAUCCUGUCUGAAUAUGGGGGGACCAUCCUCCAAGGCUAAAUACUCCUGACUGACCGAUAGUGAACCAGUACCGUGAGGGAAAGGCGAAAAGAACCCCGGCGAGGGGAGUGAAAAAGAACCUGAAACCGUGUACGUACAAGCAGUGGGAGCCUCUUUAUGGGGUGACUGCGUACCUUUUGUAUAAUGGGUCAGCGACUUAUAUUCUGUAGCAAGGUUAACCGAAUAGGGGAGCCGAAGGGAAACCGAGUCUUAACUGGGCGUUAAGUUGCAGGGUAUAGACCCGAAACCCGGUGAUCUAGCCAUGGGCAGGUUGAAGGUUGGGUAACACUAACUGGAGGACCGAACCGACUAAUGUUGAAAAAUUAGCGGAUGACUUGUGGCUGGGGGUGAAAGGCCAAUCAAACCGGGAGAUAGCUGGUUCUCCCCGAAAGCUAUUUAGGUAGCGCCUCGUGAAUUCAUCUCCGGGGGUAGAGCACUGUUUCGGCAAGGGGGUCAUCCCGACUUACCAACCCGAUGCAAACUGCGAAUACCGGAGAAUGUUAUCACGGGAGACACACGGCGGGUGCUAACGUCCGUCGUGAAGAGGGAAACAACCCAGACCGCCAGCUAAGGUCCCAAAGUCAUGGUUAAGUGGGAAACGAUGUGGGAAGGCCCAGACAGCCAGGAUGUUGGCUUAGAAGCAGCCAUCAUUUAAAGAAAGCGUAAUAGCUCACUGGUCGAGUCGGCCUGCGCGGAAGAUGUAACGGGGCUAAACCAUGCACCGAAGCUGCGGCAGCGACGCUUAUGCGUUGUUGGGUAGGGGAGCGUUCUGUAAGCCUGCGAAGGUGUGCUGUGAGGCAUGCUGGAGGUAUCAGAAGUGCGAAUGCUGACAUAAGUAACGAUAAAGCGGGUGAAAAGCCCGCUCGCCGGAAGACCAAGGGUUCCUGUCCAACGUUAAUCGG